UGAAGAAGCUUGCUUCUGAUUGAUAACAUUUGAGUGAGUGGCGGACGGGUGAGUAACACGUGGGUAACCUGCCCUAAAGUGGGGGAUAACAUUUGGAAACAGAUGCUAAUACCGCAUAAAACCUAGCACCGCAUGGUGCAAGGUUGAAAGAUGGUUUCGGCUAUCACUUUAGGAUGGACCCGCGGUGCAUUAGUUAGUUGGUGAGGUAAAGGCUCACCAAGACCGUGAUGCAUAGCCGACCUGAGAGGGUAAUCGGCCACACUGGGACUGAGACACGGCCCAGACUCCUACGGGAGGCAGCAGUAGGGAAUCUUCCACAAUGGACGAAAGUCUGAUGGAGCAACGCCGCGUGAGUGAAGAAGGUUUUCGGAUCGUAAAACUCUGUUGUUGGAGAAGAACGUAUUUGAUAGUAACUGAUCAGGUAGUGACGGUAUCCAACCAGAAAGCCACGGCUAACUACGUGCCAGCAGCCGCGGUAAUACGUAGGUGGCAAGCGUUGUCCGGAUUUAUUGGGCGUAAAGCGAGCGCAGGCGGUUUCUUAAGUCUGAUGUGAAAGCCUUCGGCUCAACCGAAGAAGUGCAUCGGAAACUGGGAAACUUGAGUGCAGAAGAGGACAGUGGAACUCCAUGUGUAGCGGUGAAAUGCGUAGAUAUAUGGAAGAACCCCCAAGUGGCGAAGGCGGCUGUCUGGUCUGUAACUGACGCUGAGGCUCGAAAGCAUGGGUAGCAAACAGGAUUAGAUACCCUGGUAGUCCAUGCCGUAAACGAUGAGUGCUAGGUGUUGGAGGGUUUCCGCCCUUCAGUGCCGCAGCUAACGCAUUAAGCACUCCGCCUGGGGAGUACGACCGCAAGGUUGAAACUCAAAGGAAUUGACGGGGGCCCGCACAAGCGGUGGAGCAUGUGGUUUAAUUCGAAGCAACGCGAAGAACCUUACCAGGUCUUGACAUCCUUUGACCACUCUAGAGAUAGAGCUUUCCCUUCGGGGACAAAGUGACAGGUGGUGCAUGGUUGUCGUCAGCUCGUGUCGUGAGAUGUUGGGUUAAGUCCCGCAACGAGCGCAACCCUUAUUACUAGUUGCCAGCAUUUAGUUGGGCACUCUAGUGAGACUGCCGGUGACAAACCGGAGGAAGGUGGGGACGACGUCAAAUCAUCAUGCCCCUUAUGACCUGGGCUACACACGUGCUACAAUGGAUGGUACAACGAGUCGCGAGACCGCGAGGUUUAGCUAAUCUCUUAAAACCAUUCUCAGUUCGGAUUGUAGGCUGCAACUCGCCUACAUGAAGCCGGAAUCGCUAGUAAUCGCGGAUCAGCAUGCCGCGG
rnacentral:rRNA from 2 species